GACGAACGCUGGCGGCGUGCUUAACACAUGCAAGUCGAGCGGUAAGGCCCCUUCGGGGGUACACGAGCGGCGAACGGGUGAGUAACACGUGAGCAAUCUGCCCUUCACACGGGGAUAACUCCGGGAAACCGAAGCUAAUACCCGAUACGACCACUUCAGGCAUCUGAUGGUGGUGGAAAGUUCCGGCGGUGAGAGGAUGAGCUCGCGGCCUAUCAGCUUGUUGGUGGGGUAACGGCCCACCAAGGCAACGACGGGUAGCCGGCCUGGGAGGGUGGCCGGCCAAAAUGGGACGGAGACACGGCCCAGACUCCUACGGGAGGCAGCAGUGGGGAAUAUUGGACAAUGGGCGAAAGCCUGAUCCAGCAACGCCGCGUGAGGGAUGACGGCCUUCGGGUUGUAAACCUCUUUCAGCAGGGACGAAGCGCAAGUGACGGUACCUGCAGAAGAAGCACCGGCCAACUACGUGCCAGCAGCCGCCGCCG
rnacentral:rRNA from 1 species